CAGUUGGGAGUGAGUUUCCAUAGUAAAUCACUGUUGCUAGCUCUAAAGCCCAGACAUUCUGGGCAGCAGACAUAGUCCGCCUAAGGAGAGCGCUGCGGGGAGACCAGUGAUGGUUAUAGGCGAUGCUUGUAGUUGUUUAGGAGGGAGUGGCGAGUGGGUGCUGUGGCUCCGAUCCUUAGCAGAGCCCAGACUGUCCAGCCAAGCCACUCUUGCCAGCGCCCGUAUCCUGAGUUAGGUGGCGAAAUGCUGAGGGGCUCUCCUAUUCGGGGGAAUGCGGUAGUGAUGUAUAAGGUAUGAAAGAUGUGGCCUGCAGAGAGCCGGCACUAUCUCUACUGCUGCUGCUGCUGCCACCGCUGCCGCUGCCGCCGCCACUACUGCUGCCAGUAGAGCUGCUGGGAGUGAGCCUCCCUUCUUCCAGAUACCCAGCUCCGUUGCAUAGUCCGCUCCCUGGCCCCGCACGGACCUCCCCGCCCCAGGGAACAAAAGCAGAGUCCGGUCGCCCUGUUCUGCAGCCAGAGGAUGAUGAGUCUAGAGCUCUGAACCGAGUGUGGUCUUCAGCGGCUGGAAGCUGCUCCCUGCCCUUUCUCCAUGAUUCCUGACUUGUGGCCCUGGCAAUCUCAGAAGAGCUUCACUGAAUUCCUUUGCAACCAGAACCUGGGGACUCGCUUCCCCCAGCAUCACCCCUGUGCAGCCUGGACACACUGACUGAACCAGUCUUUGGGACACUUGUAUCUCGAUUCUCUUCCUGGAAGUCUUGCCUCUUUCUUUCCACCCCAGCUAUUGGCUACUGCCAUCUUUAUUGACAGAUCAAAUCCAAACGGAGGCAAGGACCUUCAGUG